rnacentral:rRNA from 1 species
AUGAAGAAGAGGAAAAGAGGGAAGGUUGUGAGGUCAGGAUGUCCGACCCACCUUUACAUCACCCACACGGAUGCGUGGUGGAGAGUCAAACGCUUCAACAAUGAACAUAACCACCCUCUAAUAAGAAAGUCGUCCUUGACAAAGUUCCUAACAUCACAUAGGAACAUUCCAAAGGAUGAGCAGGACUUCUUGAAGAUAUUGCACGGAUGCAACAUAGAGACAGCAAGACAGAUGCAAUUAAUGUCAUGGUUCUAUGGGUCUCCUAAAGAUGUACCAUACACGACGAAGGUCAUCGCAAACCAGCGAGCUAAGUUCCGCAUGGAGUACCGCCAUGCUGAUGUGGGGAGCACAAUCUCAUACUUCCAAGAUAUGAAGGUACAAGAUCCAGAUUUCUAUUGGAGAAUAAAGCUAGAUGAUGAGGACAGAGUGGAAAAUUUGUUCUGGAUAGAUGGUGCGUCGCGCAGGGCAUAUGCUAGAUACAAUGAUGUCAUCUCAUUCGACACAACAGACAUGACAAACAUGUACGAGAUGCCUUGUGCGCCCUUCAUUGGCAUUAAUAACCAUGGGCAGUCAAUCCAGUUUGGUUGUGGGUUUGUUCGAAACAAACUAUCUGGUAACUAUGUGUGGUUGUUUCAUGCAUUCUUGCAUGCAAUGGGUGGAAUUGUGCCAAAGAACAUAAUAACACAUCAAGUUUUUGCAACGAGGAGGCUAUUAAUGAGGUGUUCAUCGGGAUAG